AGAAGCAAUAAUGUUAAUAUGAGUAACAAGAAAAUUUUCUCCCUGCAUGAGUGUAUAUCAGAACGAAUGAUGCACUGGUAGUUAACAAAUACAGACAUAACUAGCUAACUAAAAUCUUAAUACAACUGUUAGUCCAACACAGGCAUGCACCCAGGAAGAUAAAAGAAGUAAAAGGAACUCGGC
rnacentral:rRNA from 1 species